rnacentral:rRNA from 1 species
GGUUUAAUUCGAUGAUACGCGAGGAACCUUACCCGGGCUUGAACUGCCAGUGACUCAUGCAGAGACGCAUGUUUCUUCGGACACUGGCGGAGGUGCUGCAUGGUUGUCGUCAGCUCGUGCCGUGAGGUGUCGGCUUAAGUGCCAUAACGAGCGCAACCCUUCUCCUGUUUGCCAUCGGGUAAUGCCGGGCACUCCAGGGACACUGCCAUCGUAAGAUGUGA